UACGGAGGGAGCGAGCGUUGUCCGAAGUUACUGGGCGUAAAGCGCGCGUAGGCGGGAAAUUAAGUGAGAAGUGAAAGGCUGGGGCUCAACCCCAUGCAGUGCUCCUCAUACUGGUUUUCUUGAGGGUGGUAGAGAGAAGUGGAAUGGCUGGUGUAGCGGUGAAAUGCGCAGAUAUCAGGAGGAACACCGGUGGCGAAGGCGGGUCUCUGGGCCGAUACUGACGCUGAGGAGCGAAAGCGUGGGGAGCGAACAGG
rnacentral:rRNA from 1 species